GCGGUGAGUUUCUAUUUCUUGGUAAUUCGGUUUGUGAAAAGACCAUAACUUCACAGCUGAGGAGCUAAUUAAAUUUGUGCCUGGUGAUGAUGAAGUAACGCAUCGGCGCCUGUAGAAAGUACGGAGCAAAUAAGUCGUGAAAAUAGAAAGCAAUUGAACGAAAAAGAUAAGACCAAUGACGACGAUUCAGAGGAUGAAUUCGUCGCUGGGCUGGAAAAGAAGAGCAUAACCAUUGAUGACAUAUUGGCAGAUUUCGGUUCUGAUUUGCCAAAAGAUAUGGAAGCGGAUAAUCGCGAGCCUAAAACGAGCGCCUAAACGCGGCAUGGAAGUUGACCAUAGUGAUGAAACAAAAGAGGAGGAACUUCCAGCUACAAGCCGCAAACGUAAAGCUACCGAUGCGAUUAGUAUGCGUUCGGGUAAGACUUCAGCUUCAAAAUAUGUAGCCGGUUCCAAAGGUAUUCAUCGGCCCUUAGGCGCCUCCGGUAGUGACGCAAUAUAAAUAAAAUCCGGCUACUCUGUGAAGUCGGCCAAAUCUGGCAAAUCUACAGCGGCUUCAGCAUACGCCGGCAGCGAGUAUACAACUAAGAAACCUAAAGGCGAUAUGAAGAAGAAGGGCAAGCUCGAUCCCUUCGCGUACAUACCACUAAGUCGAAAUACGCUAAACAAAAGAAAACGAGCAAAACAUGCAGACGCACUUAAGAAUAUCGUAAAUGGAGCAAGGAAAGGUGCGCUGAGAGGCGUUAAACAAAGAGUCGCUAAGCCUAACAAACAAUAAGCUAAUAAAACUAAUGCAACAAACUCAAACUAUGUAUGUAUGUGUACAUAAAAGAUCCCAACAAGCAAA
rnacentral:lncRNA from 1 species